UAUGACUAAAAAGUUAAAACUUAAACUACAUGGCGGCAGCUAGAAAUUUUAGGGGAACUUGCCAGAUAAAUGAUAAUCCUCAAAAUAACACUACUUCUGUCCAUAGUUUGUAUAUCGCCGUCUUCAGCAUUCAUUUAAGAUGAAUUCAAAACGUUGCUAAACAAAAAGACAGGUUCUGAUGCAGCCAAUAUAGAAGUCUAAGGUGAGUUACAAUAAAAAUUUUGUUUGAAUUUGUUUUGAAAAGGAAACAAUAAAAAUGGACUUAAAAGUAACAAUCAUAAUAAACAUUACUUGAAUAUUUAACCUAGCUGUGCACACACCGCCCGUCACCCUC
rnacentral:rRNA from 1 species